rnacentral:lncRNA from 1 species
CCCUCCCCCAUUGGCUACGUGCCCAGCUGGAGGAACAUGUAGCACUUUCUAAUUUUAAGUCAAUCAGAAUUGAGUACUACUCAAGUCUACCUUCUUUGCUUAGAGUCCUUUAGUUGUAGCUGAUCUCCUUCAAAACUAUAUUCAAAUUGUCAGGGUUAACAUCUUAAUUUUUGAUUUGCUUUGACCACCUCCAUAGAAUGUUUUGAUUUCCAAAAAGAAAAUGAGAUAUAACCCAAUUAUUGUCUGUCUUAAGGGAGAGGAGUGACUGGCGAUCGAGUCUCGGAAUAAAAAUUGGAUCCGUGUGGUUGUCAUUUGUGACUCAACUAAUAAUGUGGUGUACCGCGAUUUGCAUAAGGAUUUCUCAUCCACAAAGAUUUCAAUGGAAUCACCGUAGCUCAUGGACAACGCGCUCGAGAGAAAUUAUUCUCUUGAACUUAAUGUGGGUAGGUUCGUGCCCAAGUGAUUCCUAGAGAAAGAAAUAUAUUUUGUAUAUGGAUUUCACCAAAAUAUUCCUACGUUAGAUGGAGAGAAUGUAAUACUAUAAUAAUGUUUACUACUUAUACAUAAUCAGUGCAACUCCGUCUGACUAAUUAAAGGAACAUUAAAGAAAAAAAGAUUUGGAAAGAGCUUUUUAUCUUGAAGGACAAUGAAGAAAUAACUCCAAUCUUCAAUCAUUUGGACCAGUUGUUGUCCCUGACGUAGUUGCUUUAAUUUGUAGAAGCCUCCGUUCAAAAGUCUUUGGAAUUAGCUGACAUACAUUCACAAGCCUGAAAACUACUGUUGUGAAUUGUCCACUCAAACUUCUACAGUGAGAGUGAACGAUUCAUAUAGUCAAGCAUGACACCAAUGACAAAAAAAAGGUCUCUUGAUUCAAGAACUCAAGUAUCUUAGGGGGAGAAAAAAAUGAACAACUUCAAGAAACUGUUAAAAUCAUCCAAUCUGAGAAUAAGAAGCUAAAAUUUCCUUCAUCAUGUUUUCAAGCCACGAUGAAGGGAGAACUUGAAAAAGACUUUAUUAAGGUUCAAAGUAAACUAACUCAUUCUCAGUGUUGAGAAGUAGGGUAGAUGAGGAUGAUAAAGAUGAUAUUAUUCAGGGAGUGGUACUCAAGAAAUAUGCAUUAAUUUUCAAAAUUUAAAGAUCAAAAAUCAUUUAGGCAAGGCGGAUUGUUUUUAUUGUUAAAGCAUAUACAUUCCUCAAAAGUGGAGUGGGAGGUGGGGGGUGGGGAGGGAUUAAUGCACCUAUGGACCCACUGAGUAUAUUUCACAAAGGUAAACAGCAUAUUAUAUAUUCUUUAUUAGAGUAAGAUGUUAUCACUACAAUGAUUUGGCAAAGAAAGAGCAAAAAAUACAAAAGAGCACACGCAACAACCGUUUUUCCCUCUCUAUUCUCAAAACUUUUAGCUCAGCUUUAAAUACAAAUUAAAACUUGAGGUUAUUUUUUACACCCCAAAUGUGCUUUAAAUUCCCCUCCUCCAUCGAUUUCAACUCCGAUCAGUCUCUCAAUUUAUUAGCCAGCGUUUUUCUUCGAAGGUAUGCAUUACCAGAGAUUCAAAUAAUAUGAAACGUCGGUAUGUUAAAAGAAAAUAAACCGAAAAUGAAAUUGGUCACACUGACAAUUUGAAGAAUGUUGGGGAGGGGGGUUUAGUUCUCAUGUCGUUUCAUUAAAUUAGCUGUGAUCAGCUAUGAGAUGGAGGAAAUAAAUACAAACCCAACUUCGUAUCUAGCAAUGAUAUAUUCAGGAAUUACAGCAAUGUCGAUCCUCAUUUAUACUCAAAGUCCAACAAACACUUACACUUAUGUCUCCACAACAAAUUUUCGGACUCUUUGACUUUCAAGCACAAGUGAUUAUUUAAUACAAAUUGUACACGUUUCAAGAAUAAAAUAAUGACCAUGUCAGCUCUAAUAAAAAAACAAAUAUUUUCAGGUAUUAACAAAGGAGUUCAGUCCCAAAAUUUCAUAUUCUUUUAACCCCUAUGCAUUAAAUAUUUAUUUUCUUCGAAAGGCCAAAGAAGAAACUGAAUUUAAUGUAUUUAUACUUUACAUUUAGACAACGGUAAAAAUGAAGUAACUUAUGGUUUUACAAGUUAUUAAAUCCCACCUGUAACUCGUAUAAGCUAACUGUACAAUCGUAUCCUUACUUAAUAAAAAUUCAAGCAUAUUAUUCACUUA